GUGCCAGCCGCCGCGGUAAUACGGAGGGGGCCAGCGUUGUUCGGAAUUAUUGGGCGUAAAGGGCGCGUAGGCGGCUUGGUAAGUCAGUUGUGAAAUCCCUCGGCUCAACCGAGGAAUUGCGUCUGAGACUGCCAGGCUUGAGUCCCGGAGAGGGUAGCGGAAUUCCCAGUGUAGCGGUGAAAUGCGUAGAUAUUGGGAGGAACACCAGUGGCGAAGGCGGCUACCUGGACGGGCACUGACGCUGAGGCGCGAAAGCGUGGGGAGCAAACAGGAUUAGAUACCCUUGUAGUCC
rnacentral:rRNA from 1 species